rnacentral:lncRNA from 1 species
AGAUACUUUACCACCCCGGUAAGGCCAAUAUUGUUGCUGAUGCUCUCAGUCGGAAGGUCAAUCUUGAAAGGAAAAGGCCAAGAGCGUUGAGAAUUGAAGUUGUCUCGACUAUUUUGGAAAGUAUAAAGAAAGCUCAAAGCGAAGCUUCUGAGAAAAAUGACCGAAAGGAGGAACGUUUGGGCAAAACGUUGGUGUUCGGUGUAAACAGUCACGGACUGAAGGUGUUCCAAGAUCGGAUUUGGAUACCUAAGACAGGAGGAGUCAGAGAUCUUCUGAUGGAAGAAGCUCACAAAACCAUGUACUCGAUUCAUCCCGGUAGCACAAAAAUGUAUAGGGACCUGAAACCCUAUUAUUGGUGGCCGACGAUGAAGCUCGACAUUGCGAAGUAUGUGGCCGAGUGUGUGACUUGUGCAAGAGUCAAGGCACAACAUCAGAAACCAUACGGGAGUUUAGAACCAUUACCUGUGCCUAUGGGUAAGUGGGAAGACAUUGCUAUGGAUUUUGUCACUAAACUACCCAGAACAAAAAGUGGUCACGACAUGAUUUGGGUGGUCGUUGAUCGAUUCACUAAGAGUGCGCAUUUCAUAGCAGCCAACGAGAAAUGGUCUAUGGAAAAGCUUGCGAAUUCUUACGUGAAGGAAAUUGUGAGGCUUCACGGUGUUCCGUUAACGAUUGUGUCGGAUCGUGACAGUCGUUUCACCUCACGAUUUUGGAAAAGUCUACAAGAGGAAUUGGGUACCAAGUUGUGUUUAAGUACAGCUUACCAUCCGCAGACUGAUGGUCAGAGUGAAAGAACGAUACAAACACUUGAAGAUAUGCUGAGAGCGUGUACCUUGGAAUUCCUAGGUAAUUGGGAUGAACAUUUACCUUUGGUAGAAUUUUCCUAUAAUAAUAGUUUUCACUCGAGCAUAAAGAUGGCACCUUAUCAAGCAUUGUAUGGACAGAAGUGUCGUACGCCGUCUUGUUGGCUUGAGGCUGGGGAAAAGCAGUUUAUGGGACCGGAGAUAGUCCAUCAAACGGCUGAAAAGUUGAAAAUAAUUAGGGAAAGAAUGUUAGCAGCUCAGGAUCGUCAAAAGAGCUAUGCUGACAAAAAGCGAAGACCGAUGACUUUUGAAGUUGGAGAUUCGGUUUUGCUUAAAGUCUCGCCGUGGAAGGGACUUAUAAGAUUUGGUAAAAGGGGAAAGUUAAGUCCAAGGUUUAUUGGACCGUUUAAAGUUCUUCAGAGGAUUGGGAACCAAGCUUACAAGCUCGAACUACCAGAAGAACUGAAUGGAAUUCAUAACACUUUUCAUGUGUGUUACUUGAGGAAGUUCAUGGGAGAAGUUCCCGACAUAAUUCCACUUUCGGAGUUGAGGAUCGAUGAGAACAAAAGGUUGAUUGAGGAACCGGAGGCAAUCGUUGACCGAAAGACUAAGAAAUUGCGACGUAAGAUGGUUGAGUUAGUGCUUGUCCGAUGGAAACACACGAAUGGGCCGAAUCUCACCUGGGAGACGGAGAGUGACAUGAUGAGUCGCUAUCCGCAUUUGUUUGCUGGUGUGUGAUUCCGGGGACGGAAUCAUUCUAAGGUGGAGAGAAUUGUAACGCCCGUGUUUCUGGGCUUGCCAUUUUUAGCAAUGUAAUAGUCUAGGUUAACCUUUGUAACCCCAAUUUGAAAUAAUAAAAAUGUAUUAUUUGUGAAUUAUGUGAAUUAUGUGAUUUAUGUGUUUAUUUUCUUAAUUAUUAUAAUUUAAUGAAUUAAGAAUAAAAUAAGCGUCAAAAUUAAAGUGUGAGAUAAGCCCGAUAUCUUUGCAUAAAGUUGUAGUGGUUGAAACAAGGAUUCCGGAGAUAUAAGGAAUGCCAAAAUCCGAGUUAUAACGAAGAAGUUAUGACCUGUCGAAGUUUCGCGACAGAACCGGCACGACGUCGAGUGACGUAAAAUAUGAAUUUAAGAUAGAGCGAUAUUUAGCCUUAGCGAUCUAAACGAAAGUCGUAGAUUUCGUUAAACCGAGAGCGUGCAUAAAAGGAACGCCCAAAUCUGACUUCGUAUGAGGAAGUUAUGAUUUUUCUAAGUUUCGACUUAGCAGUAUGCAGCCCGAAUACUCGAUUUGAGAUCGAGCGGUUUUUAGCCGAAACAAUCUAAAUGAGAAUCGAAGAUCUCGUUGUUAGUAGCGAAACGAUGAAAAGUUAGGCGAGAACGGACGUCAGACGAAGAAGUUAUGAAUUUAUAACGAAGUUUUUCUGUCCCGGCCUUCUAAAAAUAAAUAAUAAAAAUAAAAGUCAAAAUUAGCCGACGGAGUCUAAAUGAAAGUUGUAGAGUAUGGUCUGACCUUCGCGUGGAUAUAAAGAACGUCGAAAACGGAGCUCGUAUGCGAAAGUUACGCAAUUUAGAAGUUCGACGAGUCAAUUACGCCCCGCGUAAUUGAGUACGCCCCGCGUACUCAGUCGGAUGCAACUUGUCUGACCAAUACUCGAGUGCCACAGAUCGACGCAUGCAGUGACGUCAAAGUACGCCCCGCGUAACCGAGUACGCCCCGCGUACUGAGUACGCCCUGCGUAAUUUGAGAUUACGCCCCGCGUAAUCCCAGACCCUCAGCCUAUAAAUAGAACUCGAAAUCAGCCAUUUUCUCUUGUUCAAACUCUUCCCUCUCUCUAAGUUUUGCCUCGAUUUGCGUGCCAAUCAUAUCCCGAAGCCCCGGUAUCAUUCCCGAGCCCCGAAGCGAGAUCCGAAGCCCCGAGAAUCCCGAAGAGCGUUAUUCCCGAGCCGAAGCCCUGCCCGCGAGGAGCCGGUUUUUGUGAAGAUCUUCCAGAUCUGCGGAGAGACGCUACUUCUAUAAGCCGUAGUGCUGUCGGAUCAUCUUCUGAUCAAGUGAGUGUAUAGUCCCUUUUCAAUACGCAAUAUUAUGAAGUAUUUAAUAUAAAAUACGUGCUACGUGUAUAUAUUUUGUGGUUAUAUGUGUGAAUGUAUAUUCUCUAUGAAAUACGUGUUAUGUGUGUAUGCCUCAUCUGUUAUGUGGAAUAUGUAUUGAUUAAAGCAUGCUAUACAGGUUUUUAAACAAUGUAUAAAAAUGUAUAUUUUUAUCUACUAAUAUGUUGGGUAGAACAUGGGUAGAUAAUUGGUGUGAAAUAAACAGAUGAGAGGCCUCGGUGUUAUUGGUGUUAUUCUAGUCAUUCAGCAGAGUAUGGAUGACGACCACGGACUAUUCUAGACUGUCCUGUGGAACACUAGCAGGCUCAUUACCUGUAGGUGUUGUGAACGACGUGUUCACCGGUGUACUCUAUCCCCCACAUGGUUGCCUUUAGGACACUUAUUGUUGAGGAAGCCCCUCUGCAGUAAUGUCCGUCCCGAUGAAAAUCCUGAAAUAAGUUCCUUAUAAUAGACGUUAUUUUUAGGAACGUAAGGUGAGGAUAACGGGAAUGGGUAAUCGGGUUUAUUGUUGAUUGUUGUAAUUAAAUAUAAUUAUUGUGGGUUUGAAAACCCUAUAUGCUCACCAGGCUCCCAAGCCUGACCCACUCAGUUGAUUUGUAUUACAGGAAGUGGCGCAAGAGCUUAAGAUGGGCGAAUCAUCAAGUUGUUUUUGUUUACAAGUCUGUAUAUGUAUAUAUUUGUUGAACGACUUGUAAUGUUAUCGUUUAUGCUUUAUGAUCUAUAUCGGAACAUGACAUCCCGACUUUUGAUUAUGAAAUGAAAUCAUAUUUCUAUAUGAAAUGUUUUGAUAAAUAUCUAUUUUAUCAUGUUUUGUUUUUGGGAACAAAUUCCGCAUCUCUUUUAAAAUCAAACGGAUUUACUCUGAAAAUGUUUAAAAAGCAUAAAUGAAAUCGGUCUUUUCUGGCCGAGAUUUUGGGGAUGUCACAGUUGGUAUCAGAGCAUUAGUUUAAGCGAACUAGGAAUUUGUAGGAUUUCUAGACUUAAACUUAGUAUGCUAAGUGGAGAUUGUGAGAUGUGUGUCUGAUAAAUUUUAGACACGAGCACUAGUUUAUUUUAGGAAAGUUGCCUAAAAUGCUUUUAUGUGCUAAAUGUUAUAUGUUGCCAUAUAUGAUAUUGUUUGUUCGGAUCUACGGUUUGUUGCCAACCGGAUCUGAAGGUUUAUGUGUUUAGGAUUCUAAGCGUAUGUAUACGAUAUUAGAACUAGCAUGUAAUCGUUUGGAGUAAUAAGGUGAAAUUAUUCGGUGUGUAGAUCAAAAAUGGUGAGAACAAGAAGCGGAGUUGGAAAUGCUGAUGAAAACAGGAAUCAACCGCCUGUAAUUCAACAAGUACCUGUUGUAGCUGAUGCACCUGAGCCGAUAACAAUGGCUGGUGUACAAAUGAUGAUUCAAAUGAUGUUGGAUCGUCAGAUGGAAGAAACAAGACGCCUGCUUAGGCAGAAUCGUGAAGAACCGUCAAUUCAAGCGGAAGAGCCCGAGGAGAAUGGAGGGCAGUCUGAAGGAGAAAACUUUAGUGGGAUCAUUGGUCAAGACGAACAACCAGUGGUUAGACGCAAUAACCAGUAUGGAGGAAAUGAUGGUCGUGGGUGCAAGUAUAAGGAUUUCAUGGCAUCCAAACCACCAUGUCUAUCCGGAAGCCCGACGCCGGUGCAAGUUAUGGACUGGGUCUCCGAAAUGGAGACUAUGUUUGAAAGUUGCGAAUGCAGCAACAGGCAGAAGACCGCUCUUGCGAUCCCUCUGCUAAAAUCUGGCGUGUUGAGUUGGUGGAAGCUGUUAGCUGACUCUAUGCCCAAGGGAGAAGCAAGCAAAAUGUCUUGGGAAGACUUUGUGGAACAACUAAAAAUGCAAUACUGCUCCGAGCAGGACCUUCUGGAAAUCAGUAAUGAGUUUCAGAAUUUGAAGAAAGGGAAAUUGAGCGUUACUGAAUACGCUGCAAGUUUCACAGAAAAGAUGAAGUUUAUCCCAUAUUUGGUGCCUACAGAACUCUCUAAGGUCAACAAGUUUGCCCUUGGACUACCAGCGGACUAUGGUCCAAUGGUUAAGCAAGCAACCACAUUGAAAGCCGCCAUCUGGGCUGCUAGAAAUGUUGAGACCCAGAUCAGGGAAAAAGGUCUGGAAAGGUCAGAGGUUGGCGAGAAAAGGAAAAUCGAUGGAUUUUCAGGGUCCAGCAAGAAAAGUAAAUUCUCGAAGUCUAGUUCGAGGGGAAGUGGAGGAAAGGUAGAAGCGAAAUGGUGUGACAAGUGCAAGAAGAAGCAUUAUGGGAAGUGUGGCGGGGAAACCACAUGCUUCAAAUGUGGAAAGCUAGGGCAUUAUGCCAAUGACUGCACCUUCACCAAAAAUGUUUGUUAUGGUUGUGGUGAGGAGGGGCACAUCUCAAGGGAUUGUCCGAAAAAGAAGGAAGCAGCAAGACCCAACAUUCCGCCAAAGCCAAAGGCGAGAGCAUUCCAGAUGACACUGGAAGCUGCUAAAGAUGAAGCUGAUGUCGCUUCAGGUACCUUUCUCGUUAACAAAUUGCCUGCCCAAAUUUUAUUUGAUUCUGGAGCCAACUACUCCUUUAUAUCGCAUGAAUUUGGUAGAAAACUAGCUUUGCCUGUUGAUAGACUAGAUAAUGCUUUAUUAGUCGAAGUUGCUAGUGGCAAGUUUGUACCUGUUAGCCAUCGUAUGAAAAACAUCUUAAUUGAUCUGAAUGGAAAUAAGUUCCACGAGGAAUUAUUGCCUAUCGAACUUAACGGUUUCGACAUCGUUUUGGGAAUGGAUUGGCUUAGCGCCAAUGAUGCCGAAAUUUUAUGCAAGAAGAAAAUAGUGAAAGUGAACCCGCCUGGGAAGGAAUCGUUUAUGGUGUACGGAGAUAAACGCAGAGUAAAUUCUGGAAUCAUUUCUCUAAUGAAAGCCAGAAAAUGUUUGACCAAGGGGUGUACAUCAUACUUAGCAUUCGUGAUCGACGCUAAGAAGGAAAAGAAGGUGAUGCAAAAUAUUCCUGUUGUGUGUGAUUAUCCGGAAGUAUUUCCCGAAGAUCUUCCUGGAUUACCGCCCGAUCGACAAGUAGAAUUUCGUAUCGACUUGUUGCCCGGAACAACGCCAAUUGCAAAAGCACCUUAUCGAUUAGCACCGACGGAGAUGAAGGAGUUGAUGAUGCAACUUCAGGAGUUAUUGGACAAGGGUUUCAUUAGACCUAGUUCAUCACCCUAGGGAGCUCCGGUGUUAUUUUUAAGGAAGAAAGAUGGAAGUAUGAGAAUGUGCGUUGAUUAUAGAGAGCUGAACAAGGCAACAAUAAAGAAUAGAUAUCUGUUGCCAAGGAUUGAUGACCUGUUUGAUCAAUUGCAAGGUUCGAGCUAUUUCUCGAAGAUCGAUCUAAGGUCAGGAUAUCAUCAGCUAAAAGUAAGAGAGCAAGAUAUCGAGAAGACUGCAUUCAGAACUAGAUAUGGACACUACGAGUUCUUGGUUAUGUCGUUUGGACUAACCAAUGCUCCGACAGCAUUCAUGGAUUUAAUGAAUAGGGUUUGUAAUCCUUUCCUUGAUAAAUCCGUGAGAGUAUUCAUAGAAGACAUUCUGAUUUACUCGAAAAGCCAGGAGGAGCAUGGCAGACACUUGCGAGAAGUGUUGGAAGUUUUAAAGAAGGAGAAGUUGUAUGCAAAUUUCUCUAAAUGUGAUUUUUGGUUUCGUAAAGUCCAAUUCUUGGGUCACGUGGUCAACCAAGAAUGGAUAAUGGUUGAUCCAGCAAAGAUUGAAGUUGUAAUGAAGUGGGAACAACCGAAAAGUCCCACAGAGAUUCGAAUCUUUUUAGGAUUAGUCGGAUAUUACCGAAGGUUUAUCCAAGGCUUUUCUUCGAUCGCUAGUCCAUUGACAACUUUGAUCCACAAAGGAGCUACUUAUGCUUGGAGCGAUAAGCAUAAAGAAGCAUUCGAGAGGCUAAAGAGGAAGCUAUGCGAGGGACCAAUACUUUCUCUACCCGAUGGGGUUGAAGACUUCGCUGUUUAUAGCGAUGCGUCUGGGGUUGGAUUGGGUUUUGUUUUGACCCAAAGAGAAAAGGUGAUAGCAUAUGCGUCGCGACAGCUGAAGGAGCAUGAAAAGAACUACAUGAAUCAUGAUUUCGAGUUGGCAGCGGUAGUUUUCGCUUNCUGAAAAUAUGGAGGCAUUACCUCUAUGGCACGAAGUGCAAACUUUUUACUGAUCAUAAGAGUCUCCAAUAUCUCUUUAAUCAGAAGGAAUUGAAUAUGAGGCAACGACGCUGGCUAGAAUUACUUAAAGACUACGACUGUGAGAUACUUUACCACCCCGGUAAAGCUAAUGUUGUUGCUGAUGCUCUCAGUCAGAAGGUCAAUCUUGAAAGGAAAAGGCCAAGAGCGUUGAGAAUUGAAGUUGUCUCGACCAUUGUGGAAAGUAUAAAGAAAGCUCAAGAGGAAGCUUCUGAAAAGAAUGACCGAAAGGAGGAACGUUUGGGCAGAACGUUGGUAUUCGGUGUAAAUAGUCACGGACUGAAG